CUUUUUCUUGUUAAAAUUAUUCUUUAUGAGAAAAAAUAUAUUCACACACAUGCUACAAAUAGAAGCCAACACACCAAAGUAAGUAACUAUUGCUAAAAGCUGGCUAAUUGAAAUGUAAUUCACUCAUGCAAAACACACACACACAGAGAGAGGGAGAGAGAGAGAGAGAGAGAGAAUAUGAAUUUUGGCCUUGCAGCCCUUUCUGAAGUCAUAUGAAUGUCUCAGUGUUUGCACUUGAAAAACUGGAAGAAAAAUCAAUUGCAUGAAAACACGAAAUCGGGGGCUGUUGUGGGGAGACAUUUGCAGAGGAAGUGACUUCAAGGUGCAUGCUGAAGGAUGAAUCAAAUGAGGAAAUCAUCAGAACAAUGUGUACAAGAUGAAGAGACAGCAAAGAAGGUGCCACAGCUUUGUUAGACCUAAAAUGAAGAUGGAAGAUAGCAUCUUUUGAGAUUUGACAGACAAGGACCCAUACAUGCAAAAACAUGUAUUUUCUGCUGCAGUUGAGCAAUGUUUAUAUCAAGAGGCCCUUUGUCUUAACCAGUUUGCUCUGCUAGAAUAGGAUCUGAUAUCUAGGGUCGGUAAAAACAGAACAUUCAUUUCUUAUAGAUCCAGACGCUCAAAGUUCAAAGUCAAAGUUCUGACAGAC
rnacentral:lncRNA from 1 species